UGUUGGGUAAGUCCCGCACGAGCGCAACCCUGCAUCCAGUUGCCAUCGGGCGAGCCGGGCACUCUGGAGGGACUGCCGGCGACAAGCCGGAGGAAGGUGGGGGAUGACGUCAAGUCAUCAUGGCCCUUAUGUCCAGGGCGACACACGUGCUACAAUGGCCGGCACAGCGGGAAGCGGAGGGGCGACCCUGAGCGGAUCCCUUGAAAGCCGGUCCCAGUUCGGAUUGCAGUCUGCAACUCGACUGCAUGAAGUUGGAAUCGCUAGUAAUCGCGGAUCAGCCAAGCCGCGGUGAAUACGUUCCCGGGCCUU
rnacentral:rRNA from 1 species